GGUUGGUCCGAGAGUAGUGGUGUU
rnacentral:piRNA from 4 species